CUGUGUGUGUGUAAUGAAAUUAGAUAACAAGCCUAUAUGGACAUCUGGAACCUGGUCAAACAGUUACAUUUACUCAGUAGCUUAGCAACUUCUAUGACAUCAAACAUACAUGUGUUGGAUUUAUGCCCUGUCCACAUGAAUAUAACACAGAUCUUCAGGGUCAUUUGCAAGGAGUCAAAAUUGUGAAUAGUAAACCCACAAAUGCCAAUAGUCUACAGUAAUUGCAUGUGGGGAAAUACCAGCUGGACCCUGGCUGAGGGUCAACCCUCAGAAUAUAAGCUACAUACUCUAUAAAACUGUUGCGGACACAAAAGAUAAGGAAAGACUGAAGAACAUUCCAGACUAGAGGAGACCAAAAGAUAAGAUAGAUGAAUGCAGCACAUUUUCCUGGAUGGAUUGCAACUGGUCUCCCACCAGAAACGGGACAGUCAGCUUCCCAACUCCUGACUCCUGUGUCUACUAUUGUGCAAUGACAAAAAUCUCCAAAGGAGCUACACUCCUUUCCUUUCACCUAUGGGUCACCUGAAGGUAGACAAUGCCAAGGAAUAUACAUUAGUCUCCUGGGUGCAUUCUCAUUACUAGAGGAGCUGACUCACUUGAGGGCAUGAGAAGGAAUCAAUGAGCUAUGGUUGCAGAGCUCUAAAUUAUCUAAGGCAACAGCAUACACUUGUACCAAUUAUUUUAACUAUGAACAAAAAAAUUGACUUGUACAAUAUUAA